rnacentral:tRNA from 1 species
ACCUGGCUGGCUCAGUCAGUAGAGCAUAAAACUCUUGAUCUCGGGGUUAUGGGUUUGAGCCCCGUGUUGGGUA